AUUGAACGCUGGCGGCAUGCCUUACACAUGCAAGUCGAACGGCAGCACGGGAGCAAUCCUGGUGGCGAGUGGCGAACGGGUGAGGUAAUAUAUCGGAACGUGCCCAGUCGUGGGGAUAACGUAGCGAAAGCCACGCUAAUACCGCAUACGAUCUACGGAUGAAAGCGGGGGAUCGCAAGACCUCGCGCGAUUGGAGCGGCCGAUAUCAGAUUAGGUAGUUGGUGAGGUAAAGGCGUCACCAAGCCGACGAUCUGUAGCUGGUCUGAGAGGACGACCAGCCACACUGGGACUGAGACACGGCCCAGACUCCUACGGGAGGCAGCAGUGGGGAAUUUUGGACAAUGGGCGCAAGCCUGAUCCAGCAAUGCCGCGUGCAGGAUGAAGGCCUU
rnacentral:rRNA from 1 species